GCAGACACAUUCCAGCCAAUCAGCAGCAGACCCUCCCUCCCAGACCCUCCGACCUCCUGGACAGCUCACUAAGAAUGCAGCUUUACAAUGAAUAUAAAAUGGAUGCUGUCCAGGAGGUGGGAGGGUCUGGGAGGGAGGGUCUGCUGCUGAUUGGCUGGAAUGUGUCUG